AUUGAACGCUGGCGGCAGGCCUAACACAUGCAAGUCGAACGAGUGGCGGACGGGUGAGUACUGUCUGGGAAACUGCCCGAUGGAGGGGGAUAACUACUGGAAACGGUAGAUAAUACCUCAUCACAUCGGAUGUGCCCAUAUGGGAUUAGCUAGUCGGGUGGGUAACGGCUCACCUAGGCGACGAUCCGUAGCUUUGCUGAGAGGAUGACCAGCCACACUGGAACUGAGACACGGUCCACACUCCAACGGGAGGCAGCAGUGGGGAAUAUUACACAAUGGACGCAAGCCUGAUGCAGACAUGCCGCGUGUCUGACGAAGGCCUUAGGGUUGUAAAAUUCUUUCAGCGCAGAAGCUUUACUCGCAGAAGAAGCACCGGCUAACUCCGUGCCAGCAGCCGCGGUAAUAC
rnacentral:rRNA from 1 species